GGAAGGGUCAUAGCUCAGUGGUAGAACAUCUGCUUUGCAUUCAUAAGGUCCUGGGUUCAAUCCCCAGCAUUUGCU